rnacentral:rRNA from 1 species
AUUCAUCUCCGGGGGUAGAGCACUGUUUCGGCAAGGGGGUCAUCCCGACUUACCAACCCGAUGCAAACUGCGAAUACCGGAGAAUGUUAUCACGGGAGACACACGGCGGGGGCUAACGUCCGUCGUGAAGAGGGAAACAACCCAGACCGCCAGCUAAGGGCCCAAAGUCAUGGUUAAGUGGGAAACGAUGUGGGAAGGCCCAGACAGCCAGGAUGUUGGCUUAGAAGCAGCCAUCAUUUAAAGAAAGCGUAAUAGCUCACUGGUCGAGUC